CCAAUAGCGUAUAUUAAAGUUGUUGUGGUUAAAAAGCUCGUAGUUGAACCUUGGGCCUGGCUGGCCGGUCCGCCUCACCGCGUGUACUGGUCCGGCCGGGCCUUUCCCUCUGUGGAACCUCAUGCCCUUCACUGGGUGUGACGGGGAAGCAGGACUUUUACUGUGAAAAAAUUAGAGUGCUCCAAGCAGGCCUAUGCUCGAAUACAUUAGCAUGGAAUAAUAAAAUAGGACGUGCGGUUCUAUUUUGUUGGUUUCUAGGACCGCCGUAAUGAUUAAUAGGGACAGUCGGGGGCAUCAGUAUUCAAUUGUCAGAGGUGAAAUUCUUGGAUUUAUUGAAGACUAACUACUGCGAAAGCAUUUGCCAAGGAUGUUUUCAUUAAUCAGGAACGAAAGUUAGGGGAUCGAAGACGAUCAGAUACCGUCGUAGUCUUAACCAUAAACUAUGCCGACUAGGGAUCGGACGAUGUUAUUUUUUGACUCGUUCGGCACCUUACG
rnacentral:ncRNA from 2 species